rnacentral:rRNA from 1 species
AUUGAACGCUGGCGGCAUGCUUUACACAUGCAAGUCGAACGGUAACAGGGUGCUUGCACCGCUGACGAGUGGCGAACGGGUGAGUAAUGCGUCGGAACGUGCCGAGUAGUGGGGGAUAACGCGGCGAAAGUUGUGCUAAUACCGCAUACGUACUGAGGUAGAAAGUGGGGGACCUUCGGGCCUCACGCUAUUCGAGCGGCCGACGUCUGAUUAGCUAGUAGGUGAGGUAAAGGCUCACCUAGGCGACGAUCAGUAGCGGGUCUGAGAGGAUGAUACGCCACACUGGGACUGAGACACGGCCCAGACUACUACGGGAGGCAGCAGUGGGGAAGUUUGGACAAUGGGCGAAAGCCUGAUCCAGCCAUGCCGCGUGUCUGAAGAAGGCCUUCGGGUUGUAAAGGACUUUUGUCGGGGAGGAAAUCCCCAGCGCUAAUACCGCUGGGGGAUGACAGUACCUGAAGAAUAAGCACCGGCUAACUACGUGCCAGCAGCCGCCGUAAAAC